rnacentral:rRNA from 1 species
AUGGAAUUGAGACAUUUAGGGAAGCUUAUCCAUCUUGUAGUUAUUCCUCUGGUCAAGCAUUGUCCCCGUGAAAUCUUGGAGGAGUGGACAGUCAACUUAUUAGAGCCCAUACUAUUGGAGUGUGAGGAUAGACUUCAUGGUACUUGGUUUUAUCUUCUUUAUAAAAGACAAGCACACAACCUUUUUAACUAUGGUAAUCUUGUUGGAGAAGAUGAACAAAUAAAUAAAAUGGGAUAUAAGCUACUGCUAGAGUUUACUCGAAAGAUGUCAGAUUUGCUUGAGGCCUUAGCAUUUAUGGAAAAAACUGUUGUGCCUCUACAUGAAGAUGUUAAACCUAUCUGCAACAAGGACACUGUCUCUUCUCAAGAUUUGAACUCUAUGGCACCAUCUUCUUUCUGCAGGUUUCUUCUACAUCAUAAUUUCUUUGAGAAGUUGAGGAUGAGCUUCUUUGGAUACUUUGUGGAUGAUAAAGCAGCAAUCAAGGCUCUUCACUUUUGCUGUUAUCUGAUUCAGCUUGCAGUUUCCACAAAUGAUGUGCGGCUUGAGCGUUUGAUUGUAGAUGAUCUGCUCCCGUGUUUGAUUCGGCGUCUAGACAAUGAGCUCCAAUGUGCAACCCAAAGUCUAAGACAUGAAUCAGGGUCAAGUACAGAUGGUAGUGUGGACAAAGAGCUGCAUGCUCUUUGUGAAGACUUGUAUGUUUAUCUGGUAAAGGUAAGCUAUUAA